UACGAAGGGUGCAAGCGUUACUCGGAAUUACUGGGCGUAAAGCGUGCGUAGGUGGUGAGUUAAGUCUGUCGUGAAAGCCCCGGGCUCAACCUGGGAAUGGCGAUGGAUACUGGCUCGCUAGAGUGCGGUAGAGGAGAGUGGAAUUCCGGUGUAGCAGUGAAAUGCGUAGAGAGUCGGGAGGAACAUCAGUUGCGAAGGCGGCUCUCUGGACCAGCACUGACA
rnacentral:rRNA from 1 species